rnacentral:sRNA from 1 species
CCACCCUGAAUGGCUCCUCCCUGGCCUUAUCCCGUCCCUCAGCACCAUCCCUGUGCUACUUUGUAGCUGGGGCCUCUGGCCUCUUGGCCCUCUACUGCCUCCUGCUUUUGCUCUUCUGGAUCUACAGCAGCUGCAUCGAGGACUCCCACAGGUGACUGCCUAACCCUGAGGGCCAGGGGCUGAGGUAGGAUGAGCCUCGCCUCCACCACAAGGCUUGUUCUCUCCCUUUCAGAGGUGCUAUAGGGCUGCGCAUUGCACUGGCCAUCUCAGCUAUAGCCGUCUUCCUGGUCUUGGUGUCUGCCUGUAUCCUUCGAUUUGGCACCAGGUCUCUCUGCAACUCCAUCAUCUCCUUGAACACUACAAUUAGGUAAUGGGAGAGGGAGGGAAGCCUGGCUGGGGCUGACUACCUUCCCUCUGCAGCGGGGUCCUAUAAUUUCCUUUUAUCCCCAUCAGUUGCUCUCAACUCACAGGGCACUGGGCACAGGUGUGCCUCGGAUAUAAACUAUCACGCUUUCUCACAACUGUCUCUUUGACCUCACAGCUGUUCUGAAGCCCAGAAAAUUCCAUGGACACCCCCUGGAACUGCUCUGCAGUUUUACUCCAACCUACACAAUGCUGAAACCUCUUCUUGGGUGAAUUUGGUAUUGUGGUGUGUGGUCUUGGUGCUCCAGGUCGUGCAGUGGAAGUCUGAAGCCACCCCAUACCGGCCUCUGGAGAGGGGUGACCCUGAGUGGAGCUCUGAGACAGAUGCUCUCGUUGGGUCACGCCUUUCCCAUUCCUGAAGAAUAAGCAGAGUGCUUCCUGCAGCCGAAGACUCCAUGCCCAAGUGCCUGUAAUCCCCCCCC